rnacentral:lncRNA from 1 species
GGGGAAGAGGUUCAGGUCGGAUCUUCCAAGGAAGGGAACUCAUGGGAGAUUGAUUGUCGAGUAAGAUGUUGACUUCUUCUAUGGUCUUGUCUAUGUCAAAGUUGUCAACGUCAAAAUGGGCCAAGCAUGCCUCUAGGGGGUCAUCUGCUAAGAUAUAGGGAAGAGCUUCCUCUACAAGAUCAUCCAUUUCAUCAAUUAGGCAACACCCGUCUUCCCUCACAUGUUGGUCAGCGGCAUGAAACACAUUCAACUUAAUUUUUAUGUUCCCAAAUGAUAUAUCUAUU